rnacentral:rRNA from 1 species
UGGGCAAUCUGCCCUUCACUCUGGGACAAGCCCUGGAAACGGGGUCUAAUACCGGAUAACACUCUGUCCUGCACGGGACGGGGUUAAAAGCUCCGGCGGUGAAGGAUGAGCCCGCGGCCUAUCAGCUUGUUGGUGGGGUAAUGGCCUACCAAGGCGACGACGGGUAGCCGGCCUGAGAGGGCGACCGGCCACACUGGGACUGAGACACGGCCCAGACUCCUACGGGAGGCAG